GCCAUUUCACUGCCCAGCCACUCGACAUCGUGAACCCUUUCAGCUGUGCUUUGUGGCCACAUUUGCAUCAUCUGCAAAAUUUCUCUUCUCUCUAGUCUUCCUUUUUACCAGACUAUUUAUUAUUUAUGAAUAUGUAUGAACACUAUCAAAUUAGUAUUUCAACAACUCAGUUCAAAGUGAAACCUCUCUCACACAAAGAUGUGUGGCAGACACCAGCCAAGGCCUUGAGGGGACCCACCAGUGACUUCCAGUGACUGUGAAUGUUCAGAGGUUUAUACCCAUCCUCCAAAAAGGAGUUUUUAACUCCUAAUAGCCCCAGGAAAAAACUUUCUUUUGUCAUCUCCUAUCAUGAAGCUUUGUUGCAGACAGUUUCUAGGCAUUUAUGUUUAUUGGCACAACGACUCUCUGAACUCCUCUGAACAUGUUAUCAAUGUUGAGUGGGUAAGCAGGAGAAAUCAGUGAUAAGAAGGACCAUCUGGUGUGUCAAGUAUUUCAUUCCCCAGACAGAGAUAUGUCAUUCGUCAGCUCAUUGUUUUUAAUAACUCACAGUCUGUCCCUCUUGGUUGUGCAGACCAUGGAACACAGGCUGGUAAGAAAGGCUCAGCUACAACAGUGCCUUUUGUUGCCAAAUACAGAAUCACUUCUGUUUACAGGUGAAAUGCACACCUUUGGCACUGAAUUCCUGAAGUUCACCAGCAAAACCCACAGAAUCUUUCCUGAACUCCCUAUUGCAGGAGAGCUGAAAGAGCAAAAUAAAACAUAUGGUCAUGUAAUCAGUGGGAAUCACUGGACACCGACACAGGAGAGCUGCAAGCAUGGAAAUACUCAGAUAUAUAUUUGAAGUAACACCACAGGUUUUUUGGGUGGGAUUCUUUGCCGUGCUGAACUACGUCUGGACAAAUAAUUUGGAUGUUGACCACUCAGGUAAUGUAAUCCAAAAUCCUGUUGCCCGUAUUGCAAACAGAAGAGGAGGAGAGAACAUUUCAUUCCUGUCUCAGGCAGAGCAGAGCACAGCUGUGGUGUUUCAUUGCAGGCAACACCACUGCUGUAACCCAGCAGAGCACUGGUGGGGGGUUUGAACUGAAAUUAUUGCUCUUCUGCCAAAGAGCUGAGGCAGAAUGAGUUCUUUUUUAUGUUUGUUUUUUCUUCUCAUUGACUCCAAAGCAUAAAAGCAAUUAGUGUUUCUGCAGUGCAGUAGGUGACAUCAGCACCCUGCCAUGCUGGAGUUGUUUUUUCUGUGCACAGAAAGGGAGGUCUAAUGUGAAUGGCUGGGAAGUGAUGGAGGUGCAGGGAUUUCCAGACUGUCCAGCUGAAUUUCCCUAUUCUGCUGCUGUGUCUUUCACCAGCUGCAGUACAGUGAUCUCAGCACUGAAGCCAGUCCAGGUGUGCUGGAGAUGGGAUAAUGCAUCAAUUAUCACACAUCCUAUCACAGAAUCACUCAGGUUCAAAAAGACCUCUGAGAUCAUUGAGUCAACCUUGAUCAGCACCCUGUCAACCAGACAGCAGCACUGAGUGCCACAUUCAGUCAUUUCUUUAACAAUUCCAAGAACUCUGACUCCACCACCUCCCUGUGCAGCCCACUGCAAUGUUUACCAACCUUGCCACUGAAGAAAUUCCUCCUGAUGUCCAGCCUGAACCUAUCAAAACUCUCAGGACAGAUCCAAUCCCAUCACUGAUUAGCAUCUCUCUUUUUUUAUCUUCUUUAGCACUUAGCUUCUAACACCUGAUGGAAAUUUGAAAGGCUGGAAGUGUCUACUGCACCCUUGAGUAAAAUGCCAUCCAUUUUACAACAGUCCAGUUCAUGCAUUUGUCUGUAAAUUCCACAGUGCCUCUUUGUUUAAAUGCUUGCUCCUUAUUCAGGAUUAUUCACUAAGUCUUUUAUUCUUGACAUCCCCCACAGUUUAAAAAAUAACUUUUCUCCAUGUUGACAAGCUGUAUGUGAAGCAGCUCCUCAGGCUGGGGCGGCUCAGUGGCUUCUCUUGGAUCGGUAACGCUCAACUAAGGACAGUUUUUUUGGGAGGGUCUUUGUGGUUACCUGCAUUCCUUUGGGCCAAGCAUUCAUUUCUUAGGCAGAAACAUAAUUUUUAUAUAACCUUUUUUUUCCCUGAAAAACAGAUUUUCUGAUGUCCUUUCCAAACAGUAGCUGGGAACCUGGCUCUCAUUCCAGCCUAAGCCCAUCUAUGGCAUCUAUUACUAGUCUUGCACCACUGCACCCCUUUGCCUAAAGAGUUCUUCUUUCAUUCUUUAGACAGAGACACAUAGCUACAUCACACUCUAAGUUCUAGCCCUACUGAGCAACUCAGGGACUUCUGCCAACUUGGAAACAAGAUAUGAACUAAAGAGUUUAUAUUUUUGCAUUAAAAUGGAAACAGGUGGGAAGGACGCGGGGAACUUAUCAAGCCACAUAAAUACUUUUUUUCAUGUUAGAAUUUGAAUGGAAUGGAAAUUACAAUCUUCCAGUGUUGCUGCAAAGCAGCAAUAUUGAGUUUCUCCUUACUCAGCGUUUAGCAGUAAGGAACCAGGUGCAGUGGAGCUGGAGUUCUGGAAUUUGCCUCCUAACCCCAUCUAACUUCUCUCCUAGGCCUGCCCUAUUUUGAAUUAUUGUUCCACCUGACACAGAGGAUGUUUCUGGCUCUGGAGAGAAGAGUCAAGUCUUGCAGUAUUUUUUUUAUAGAUUGCUAACUGGAGAAUAAGAACAGGAAUGAAGUGCCGGCUGGCAGAAAUCAAUGGAUUUCCCUUUUCUUACCUGAUUUAUGGCAGUGAACCUCUGCUCCCACACUGAGUUAGGUGCUUUGGCUCAGCUCAGGUAUUUGCUGUGUGUCAGCACUGAGCCAGUAUGUGGUGGAGAGACCGGAGCCACACCAAAGCUCUGCCUUUGGAGCCAGACCUCUCCCACCCCCUUCCUACCUCCACAGCAGAACAAAACCUGAGGGAAGUGUCCCAGCUGAGGGGGAGCGUGUUCCUAGGAGGAUUUACUAAAGUAAAACCCACAUCCAAAAUAAUUUUUGAAAUUAUGACGUAAUAUAAAUGAGACAGACUUUUCCAAAACACUUGGUUGUCCAUUGCCCAGGGGUAGGAGCAGCUGCAGCACUGGUUGGACAAAUAAGUAAACAAAUGGAUGGACAAACAAUCUAACAGACUCCUGACUGCCUUCACUCACCCUUAAUUAACAGUUUUCAGUAAAUAGCCCUGGCUUUAUCAUUAUUUUAGAGCUGGAAGUUAUUGACCCAGUACUGCAAAUGUUGCUAUCAGCCCAGCCACAGAUGUAACCCAUGUGAAAUCCUACUGGAAUCAAAUGGAUUUCUCAAACUGCAUCUGUUCAGCUCAGUAAAGAGCCUGUGACCACAACCAUUAGCUUUUCCAGUAAAAUGUCCUGCACAGCCCAUUCCAUGAGAAUAUGCAAUAUCUGCAGUGCUCUGUGCCACAGGCACCAGGGCAGCCUGGUGGCACAGAGCACUGGCAGUAAGCUCCAAGUCUAAAUGAGCUUAAAAGGUGAUUCAAACACUUCUCCUGUUAUCAAGCUGCAUUUUUAAUUUGAACUAAGAACAGCUUUCUGUUAUGUUAAGGUUUGGAGAGUUAGCCAGUAAUAUACAUAUGUAUUUAAUUUUUUUUUUACCAUUUUGUACUUACUGGCUGUUUCUCGGUUUGCAACAGAAUCUGGAAUCCAAAGAGCAAAGUAUUUGCAAAAGCUCUAUGGCUUCAAGGUCUUUGAACUCCCUGACAUCAGGAGAUGGAAAGCUCCCAAGACAGGCUGUUCUCCUGAGGCUUUCAGCCCAAUUUCCAGGAACUGGGGCAGGUCGAGUGCAUUCAGGGGGAUGGAUUUUCCUCCAGAGGGAGGAAAUAUUCAGGAAUGAUUCAACUGUGCAAUAAAAUCAUUGACAUUUGCCUGUCACUUGUCUAGACACAUGUUUCAAAAGGGAAUAAAAUAAAAGGAAGAAAAAUACCCUGUCUGGGAAUUCUUACCCAGUGACUUCCACAGCCCAAGAGCUGGGUAAUUCUCCUCAACUGAAUAAACAUCAGAGGCAGUCUGAGAGCAAUUUGGCUCCAGAACAAAUAUUGUUUCUGAAUUCUUUGCACCUGCAAUGGCCAGGGAAAUGAUAAUACACCCUCUCCAUGGUUUCCUAUGCCAGGCUUUGGAAAGCAGCUGGGAAGCAUCUCCCAUCUGCCACAGCACAAAGGUCUGUGCGGGCAGGGCUUCAUGUGAGACCCUGCUGGAAUGAUCACAUCCCAAAGGGAAGUGAGGGUGUCAGCCUCUCAGGGACAAGUUACUGGUGGCCUCCUUGAGGGACUCAAAGACCAAGCAAUUGGGAAGAAGAAAUAAGCUGUGGAUAAUGGUCUUGCCUGGUACCACCUCAGGCACAUGAACACAGCAAUGGCUGAUGCCCCUGUGAGAGCAUAAAUUUGAGUUCAUCAGCACCACAGCUGCUCAGCUAACAGGGCCUCAAGACAGAUAAAAAUAGGGGGUAAAUUGUAUUUUAAAGUGUUUCUGCUGUAAAAUAACUUUUUCCCUGGAUGAAUCCUAGCUAGAAAUAGAUUUGUCUAAUAAGGAGAUCUUGUGUCUCACUGGGAAUUUAAUUCAGUCCUGAGUCACAAGUUAUUUGGUUUAUGCUACUCUUUGAGUAUAUUUGACUGUAUUUCCCUUAAUUUUUAGUAAACUUAGUGAUGUUGCUGUGGUUCUGUGUUGUAUUGAGAACUUUUCAAGUUAUUUGCAUUUAUCAAAAGCACAGAAAAAAUGGGCAAAUUCUGUGUUCCACUGGAAUGGUUUGUCCACAGUAUAUAAACUGUUGCAUGACAAUUUGCCACCCUGCAUUGCACUAGCUGUAGAAUUCAGUCAUUUAGUCCUGUACAAACCCCAAUAAUUUGCCUUUUAAAUAUAUAAUAAAUAUAAUAAAUAUA